UUUAGAAAAAAAUUCACUGAUAAUUCCACAAAUACCCUCUUACAUCAGUCGAGAAUCGAUAUAUCACUUAUUUCAUUUUUAAUUUCAAAGCUAAUUUUUUCUUUGUUUUCCGUUUCUUCCUUUAACCAUCUCCAUCGCCAUCGGAAUCACCCCCUCUGCAACUACCACCAACUUAGCCGUCGCUAACUGAUUCAGGAAUCAAUCGUAUUUUUAGGGUUAAACUCACUCGAAUUAUUGAAGAGGGAAGUAAUGAUGACGAGGAUGCUGGUUGUUCUGGUGGCGACGGCGGUCGAAAAGGUUAAAACGAUAAAAUUAAUGACGGAGAUUGUGGUGAUUCUUAUUGAAAUGAUGAAAUUUGUGAUAAAAAGGUUGGAAUGUUGGCUGUGUUUAGAUUAAGAAAAUGAAAUUGGUUCCGAUUGGUGUUGUGGUGGUGGUUAGGGAAUUUGUGUAAUUGUUAUUGGUGGUGGUGAGGUUCAAAUGAAAUUGGCGAUGGAAAAAUCGGUGGAUGGUGGUUCUGGUUGUGGAUUAUUGGUGGUAGUGGUGAUUUCUUCUUAAAGAUGAAAGGUUGUUUUGUUUUAGUCUUGUUAUGCAUACCCUGCUGUAAUUGCAACAAAAAUAUGCAUGUUUCAAUUUGUUUGAGUUGGUAUGUUGUAUUAAGAAAGUGAUAUUUCUUUAUUUUGUUUCUCUUUUAUUUGUUGUUGAUAUCAAACUUGCCUCCAUUUUACAAACUUCUUAAUUCUCACUACAUAACAAGUUUUUAUACAACAGGUUGAAUUUGAUUUGGAA